rnacentral:rRNA from 1 species
AACACGUGAGUAACCUGCCCUUGACUCUGGGAUAAGCCUGGGAAACUGGGUCUAAUACCGGAUAUGACUCCUCAUCGCAUGGUGGGGGGUGGAAAGCUUUUGUGGUUUUGGAUGGACUCGCGGCCUAUCAGCUUGUUGGUGAGGUAAUGGCUCACCAAGGCGACGACGGGUAGCCGGCCUGAGAGGGUGACCGGCCACACUGGGACUGAGACACGGCCCAGACUCCUACGGGAGGCAGCAGUGGGGAAUAUUGCACAAUGGGCGAAAGCCUGAUGCAGCGACGCCGCGUGAGGGAUGACGGCCUUCGGGUUGUAAACCUCUUUCAGUAGGGAAGAAGCGAAAGUGACGGUACCUGCAGAAGAAGCGCCGGCUA